GAGCUAGUAGAGCAUAAGCAGUUUGUCGCUAUAGCAGUCCUACGCAAGGGUAGGCAUCGACUCUGUUGUUCCCGUAUACUGAGACUUCAGGGGGCUGGUCCUUGUGAGUUCA
rnacentral:tRNA from 1 species